AGCUGCCUCUCCUGGCCUCAGCAGUACCUGACAGAGGACAGGGACCCCCUGGGUCCUGUGCAGAGGAUGCAGGCAUCCCCAGAGCCUCACAUCUUUCUCUUCACUCCCAGGAUCCGGUUCGACUGCACCAGUGAGAUCAGGAACUGAAUGAGCUGUGGGUAGAGAGGAUAUAGUCAUCCAGGCCCAUGGGGGGUCCCUGUUGGCCUGCCGGCCCUGCCUCUACCUUGUUGACGACUUUCUGCUGUUGGGCGUGCUUCUGCCGCAGGCUGGCCACCUCCCGCCACAGGGCCUCGUUCUCGCUGAAACAGACCAGGAUGGGUCAAUGGGGCUGCAACCAGGAGCACUGGGCAGGGCUGGCCUGGCCCUCCCCGGGAUGAGGACUGCCAUGUGAAGGGGCUGGGGAGGCCAAGGCUUGCUGGCACCACUGCCCUUCCUAGUGUGGCUGUACUCCAGAGUCACACAAAGGAUGCUCGGGACCUCCACCAGGCUCAGAUGUGGCUCACAGGUGGCCCCGUGGAGUAGGGAAGAGUGGCCCCAGCACCGUCUCCCCGACCGGGAGCUGCUCCUGGCCACGCAGGAAACAAGGGUGCUGGAACUCAGUGUCGUCCCUCUCAGGCUUGACCAGGCCGCCCUGCUCAAUGUGGACCACUUUCCGGAAGCCAUCUGUACAUAACGGAUGGAUGCAGCUCUGCCUAAGACCUAGGGACCAGACCCCCCUGCGACAGCCUGGCCACUAACCCCAUGGCAAGCAACGAGCAGUUCCUGAAGGGCUACACUGGCGUGGCCCUGGUUAGACCCCAUGCUGCCCACUCAGAGCUUGUGCCUGGGUGGUCUUAGUCUCAGGGAGACCCCAUGUCCCCACGUCUCCCUUCCUCAAUGCAUGUGGGAGUGUGGCUAGGGCUUCACAGCUCUUCCCUGGGGACCUUAGGCUCACACCCACAAAAACCUUUCCCUCAAGGACGAAGUGCCCGCCCCAGGCCCCCAGCUUUGAGGGCUCCACGCCAUGCCCUUGGCCACUGCAGAGGGUUCUGUCCUUCACCCUCAGGGUAGGUCAGCUUCCCCACACACCCCAGGCUGGCUGCCCAGUCCCUCUGAGCAGGGGACCCUCAUCCCCCACAAGCCCAGGGCGGGGCAGGCACACUCACACAUGUUGAGCUGCCGCACGAAGCUGGCCAUGUUGUUGUGCUUGAAGUACUUGGGUAGCACCUCCUUGGCGAACUGGCCCUGGUCGAACACGUGAAAGCUGUUCCCGCUCUGCCAGGAGACACAUGGAUGCGUCAUGUGUGGUGGCAAGGCACAGAGGUAUCUGUGGCCUGAGGGGACCCCUCCCCAUGAGUUGGGUAGGGCACAUUCCUAACCCUACGGGGCUGGUUGGGGGGUCCCUCGGCCUGUAUCUGCAUUCAGGUGCAGGACUGGGUGGUGGCCAGAUGCUCAGUUUACAUUCAUGAGACACUCACAGCACUUGGAGCCCAUUCUCUAGGGGAUCAGUAUUUAGUUUUAAUCGGCAAGUUUUCCUUAAGAACAGCUAAGACCCCAAAUUGAGGCAGCCAAAGAAACGGGAAUCUAAUUUCUGUUACAUUAAAGGAAAACACAGUUAUGUUCAGAAAUGCAAACUUCAUUCCUCUUUUGGCAUGUGAGACAAGAAAUAGCGACUGUCAGAAAUUGCAUAUGCCGUCAGGAGGAGCUGACCAGGCAGGAGUCUUUGCUGGCCUCAGUCAUGGUGGCUCAGAGAAGGCGCCAAGAUGGAAAGAUGGAGAGGCCCAGAGCAGAGCCAGAGAAGAGCGUGCAGGGCAUCUGCACAGGAGUUGGGGCGACUGACCCAGUGAAUGAACCAGUUAAAGACAGAGCAGGCCCUGCUGGAGAAGGGAGUUACAGCUGCGGACAGGGGAAAGCCAAAAGGCCCCUUUGGUGUUGGACUGGAACUGGAAUACUGCUCUUCAAUAUAGAAAAACAGGAGAAUAAACAUGGGCACAAACAUGUGAGGCGAGUGGGAACAGCACAGGAAGGGGGUCCAAAGCAGCAAGAGGAAAGCUGGUAAAAAUGUUAGUCAACUUUUCCAGAAUGCUGAACAUUAAUGGGAGAAUUGCAGCAGUACAGGGAGUGUUUACUCAAGAAAAGCAGUUGGAUCUCAAUAAGAAAAGUGAGCACUGUGGCAUUUUACCCUGCCCUGUUCCUGCUCUAUCUCAGCUGCAAUCACUGUGGAACCAGUGACCUGGCAGCCCCUAGGGGAGGAGGGCCCGGAGCUCCUUCAGGCCCCUUGUGGCAGCUACCUGGGAGCUCCCACUUCUCAGGCUGUCUUGGAUUUGACUUGAAGUUCUUCCAAUGUAGAAAAGCUUUUUCCUAGGAGUCCUUGUUGAAACAGCUGGAGACAAUUUUUAAUUACUCUGGCUGCCUAAGGCAGUGCGUAACAGUUCGGGACAAGAGACUAAUUAGAACACUUAAAAGAAAAAGCUGGAGAAUGAAGUAUCACUAAAGGCUCUGAAAAAUCCUCAGGAACCCAGAAGCCAUGUGCAUGAGCAGAGCUGUGCCCUUGUUGAGGAAAGACCUGAGCUGUCCCCUCUGGCUGACCUUGAGGCUCUGCGUAAGCAUCAAGGGAAGGAUAAAAGGUCAACCAUCUGGCUGAGUACUGAAGGUGUGCCCCAACAUACAGAGUCCCCCAGCAAAGACUGGGAGACUCAUUGCCUCCAGGCUCUUAAGGAAAUUUCUGCCCCAUCACUACCUAACCAAACAAGAGACUGAAGUGGCCAUGAACAACAGAGAACACAGACUUUAUAGCACCAGUCCAGAAAAGCUACCAAAGUACAAUUGCAGCAAACUACAACAGCAAUGAAUCCUGGGAAAUGGGAGAAUCUGAGCUCCAUAGUUGCCACAUUAUAUUAAUUAGAAAUCUAGUUUUCAACAAAAAUUAUGAGAUCUGCAAAGAAAGAAGGUAUGGCCCAUACACAGGAAAAAAAAAAAGCAAUCAAGAGAAACUGUCCUGGAAGAAGCCCAGACUUACUAGACAAAGAUUUUUAGGUCAACUAUUUUAAAUAUGUUCAAAGAACUAAAGUAAACCACAUCUAAAGAACUGAAGUCUGAGAAUGAUACCUCACCAAAUAGAGAAUAUCAAUAAAGAGACAAAAAUUAUAAAAAAGCACUAAAUUGAAAUUCUGGAGUUGAAAAGUACAAUAACUCAGAUUAAAAAUUCUCCAGAGGGGCUCAAGUGCAGAUGUGAGCAGGGAGAAGAAGGAAUCAGCAAACAUGAAGAUAGGCCAAUCGAGAUCAUCCAGUCUGGGGAAAAGAAAAAAAAAAGAAUGAAUAAAAAUGAACAGAGCCUCAGAGACCUGCAAGACAUCAUCAAAUGUACAACAUAUACAUAAUGGGAGUCUCAGAAAAAUGAAAGGGACAUAAAAAUACAUGAAGAAAAAAUGCCCAAAAUCUCCACAAAUUUGAUGAAAAACAUCUAGGAAGCUAAACUCCAAGUAGGAUAAACUCAAAGAGAUUCCCACCUAGACACUUCAUAAUCAAACUGGCAAAAGCAAAAGGCAAAGGAAGACUCUUGGAAAGGCCGGGCACGGUGGCUCACGCCUGUAAUCCUAGCCCUCCAGGAGGCU